UUUAAACUAAUCUGACGCUGCCUUAAGGGAAUAUUGCUUGACGUGUUGUGUGGGUCCUCAUUGGAAAUUGAAAAUGGGCCUUCAGCUAUGCUAGGUCUAUAAUGGGAAGCAUCACAGUUCGAUAUUUCUGUUAUGGAUGCCUCUUUACAUCUGCUACCUGGACGGUUUUGCUUUUUGUUUAUUUCAACUUUAGUGAAGUGACUCAGCCACUUAAGAAUGUGCCCAUCAAGGGGUCUGGGCCUCACGGACCAUUCCCCAAAAAAUUCUAUCCCCGUUUCACUCGAGGUCCAAGUCGAGUGUUAGAAUUACAGUUCAAAGCAAACAACAUUGAUGGGGUGAUAGAUAACCGUAUUGAAGACCCAGAAAGAGGCAACGCGAAGCUCUCUUCUGAGUUGGGCAUGAUAUUUAAUGCACAUGAUCAGGAGUUGAGAGACUUGGGGUAUCAGAAGCAUGCCUUCAAUAUGCUUAUUAGCGACCGCCUGGGCUACCACAGAGAUGUGCCAGACACAAGGAAUGCAGCGUGCAAAGACAAGACAUACCCAGCGGAUCUGCCAGUCGCCAGUGUCGUUAUUUGUUUCUACAACGAAGCCUUGUCUGCUUUGCUACGGACCGUGCACAGCGUCCUGGACCGCACGCCGGCCCAGCUUCUCCACGAAGUCAUCCUCGUGGACGACGACAGUGACUUCGAUGAUUUGAAAGGAGAACUGGAUGCAUUUGUCCAGAAAUAUCUCCCUGGAAAAAUUAAAGUCAUAAGAAACAGGAAGCGCGAGGGACUGAUUCGGGGAAGAAUGAUCGGAGCAUCCCACGCGACAGGAGAGGUGCUGGUGUUUCUGGACAGCCACUGUGAGGUGAACGUGAUGUGGCUGCAGCCCCUGCUGGCCGCCAUCCAAGAGGACCGCCGGACGGUGGUGUGCCCCGUGAUCGACAUCAUCAGCGCCGACACGCUGGCCUACAGCUCGUCCCCUGUGGUGCGGGGAGGGUUCAACUGGGGGCUGCACUUCAAAUGGGAUCUUGUCCCCCUUCCUGAGCCCGGAGGACCAGAAGGAGCCACCGCACCGAUAAAGUCCCCUACAAUGGCUGGAGGACUGUUUGCCAUGAACAGGGACUACUUCAGUGAGCUCGGGCAGUAUGACCGUGGCAUGGAUAUCUGGGGAGGAGAAAACUUAGAAAUAUCAUUUCGGAUUUGGAUGUGUGGAGGUAAACUCUUCAUCAUCCCUUGCUCUAGAGUCGGACACAUCUUCCGAAAAAGACGACCAUAUGGCUCUCCCGAAGGCCAGGACACCAUGACACACAACUCCCUGAGGCUGGCACACGUUUGGCUGGAUGAGUACAAGGAGCAGUAUUUUUCCUUGAGACCGGACCUGAGGACCAGAAGCUAUGGGAACAUCAGUGAGCGUGUUGAAUUGAGGAAGAAGUUGGGUUGUAAAUCAUUUAAAUGGUAUUUGGAUAAUAUUUACCCAGAGAUGCAGGUAUCUGGACCCAAUGCCAAACCCCAGCAACCCAUUUUUAUCAACAGAGGGCCAAAACGUCCCAAAGUCCUUCAGCGUGGAAGGCUCUAUCACCUCCAGACCGGCAAGUGUCUGGUGGCCCAGGGCCGCCCAAGUCAGAAAGGAGGCCUCGUGGUGCUUAAGGCGUGUGACUACAGCGACCCAAAUCAGAUAUGGAUUUAUAAUGAAGAGCAUGAAUUGAUUUUAAGUAAUCUCCUGUGCCUGGAUAUGUCAGAAACCCGCUCCUCAGACCCACCCCGCCUCAUGAAGUGCCACGGAUCAGGAGGGUCCCAGCAGUGGACCUUUGGGAAGAAUAAUCGGCUGUACCAGGUGUCGGUUGGACAGUGCCUGCGAGUAGUUGAUCCACUGAGUCACAAAGGCUAUGUUGCUAUGGCAAUCUGUGAUGGCUCUUCCUCACAGCAGUGGCAUUUGGAAGGUUAAGGCGGAGGCCGUGGCUGGAUGGUGAUUCAUCGUGCUUGUCCUAUGGAGAUGCCUGGGAAGAUGAGAUUUACAUGCUAUCCUCCGUCAAAAUCCCAGGAGGCUUUUUAUACUUCACCAUCUAAUAUUCAAACUCACAUGGACAUGCAUACAACUGAGCGGCGGAAAUAAUUUUGGGAAGGAUGAAGUUGGAAGGCUUGCACAAGUUUAAGACUGGCCGUGAUGCCGGCUAUUGGAUAACGAAGAGACUGGCAGAACGGAAACAGACCCGCACACAUUUGGCAACUGAUUUUCAGCAAAUGAGCCAACACGAGUCAAGGGAAAACUCCUCGAGAGAGACGGCGCCCGGACAGCUUCGCGUCCCCACGGACGGGCAUGAAGCCUUACUCCGUACACAGGGACGGACGACUCCAGAAUGGGUCGUACAGCCAAGGGGGAAAACGCAGGAGGACGGGAAAUGACUGAUUAGGGGUUGGCGUUAACAGAUGCUGGGAAAGUUGUCGCCACACUGGACACAUCGGAUGAGGUCAGCUUGAAGAGCGCAGAGGGCCACAGGGCUGAGGACGGAGGUGUGGCGAGUGAGUGCUCCCACUGAACAGGCAGGAGGAGACGUGACUCGGAGGUGAACAAGCAACAUAAGGAACAUGCGUGAAGAUCGAUACGGCUUGCCGCAGCAGACGAGGGGAAAUUAUCUAAGUGUGACUCUUACGAAUUGAAGAAUGGACAAGACAUGAACAUGCCAUUUGCUGAAGAGCAAAUCCCAGUGGCAGACGUGGAAAGGUGCUCAUUCCUCAGCAGCCCGAAGUGCAAUUCAAAUGACAACAUCAGUCAACACUCAGCAGGCUGGCAGACAACAAAGGGCAGGCCGAACUCGGGUCGUCAAGAAACCAUCAACAUGACGGAGAAUAAAACUGACCCUAAAAGACAGGCAUGGCGGUGACUGAGCCACCUGAAACAGAACGGACAGCGGCUGAUUCAGCAGAGCGGGGCGCCACUGCCCGGAGCACAGGGGACACCGAUCUGGCUGAGAGGACAUUCUGGAGAAAACAGCAGAAAGGAAAAAAGACCUUGGAUCCAAAACGUGACAAGAUGCCAGGUAAAAAAAUGAAGAGCAGAAAGGGCUCUUCGCUAGCUUUUUUAAUACAAAAGAAAGAGCAGGAGGUGAAGUGGAAGUCUCUGAACAAGGACGGGGACGGGGACGGGGACGGGAGGCAGCGGGAAGUGGGAGCUGCCGCCCAGGGACUGGAGCAGCAAGGCUGCGACCCCAACCUGCAGGCCUUACCAAGGCCCCAGGAGUGCUGAUGCUGCGAGCCUGGGCUCCACACCGAGACCGCAGAUCUCAGGGGUCCAGUAUUUGUCUGUGAGUGCAAAACAGAAAGACACGUGGGCACCGAGAGAAGAGUGACUGCAGCACUUCUCACGUGGAAGGCCAGCCCGCUCCACACCGCGAGGGCUCACCAAGUGAGGAGAGCGAUAAAUUAAAAAGGCACAUUUCCAUAAAAUGCCCCGACAACAACAGACGAUCAUAAAAUCUCUGAUCAUAAAGGAAGGUUCCAAGGAAGGAAGAGGAAUCUGAACGAGCACAGACAAAUACAGGUGGGUCAGAUUUAUAUUCUGUAGGGAUCACGAGGGCCUUUGAGCGGGCAGGGUGGGACUGCGUGGGAUGAGGCAGGCGGGUCCCUGUGGGCGUGAGAGAACUUUUCAGCGGAGGAAAGGGCUAUCGGGGCCAACUUAAAAGACAACUAGCAGAUGGUGGCCUCGCUCAGGAAUCUGAGGAGCUUGGAGGGUGACCGGGCUGAGGGCCUGAAGACGUUUGGCAAAGUGGGAGCUUCUGGAUUCCACCCUGGGGCUUCGGAGGGGAGAUGCUGGACCAGCAUCUGGUUUUAGGUCUGCAGCUCCGGGAGAGCAGACCGCAGAUGUCACGUACACGCUCAGCCUGCAGGUGGCUUUAUCUGUGAGACAUCCUCCCACCUACCCUCCAGGUAUCAGGUAACGAUUUCAUGAAAAAGCUUCCAAAAGAUAACUUCCCGCAUGGGAGCACCUUCUGAAAAUGUUUUCACUGCAUUUUUCAUUUCACGUGAAGUAGCUCUAGUGAACUCUCCACAAACCCGGUGUGCCCAAUGCAGUGCCGCCUGCUGCCCUGCGUGUGCCCCCCGAAGGCGCCAAGACUGCGGCUGCGACACUCGUGUCACAGAUUAAGCAAGAUGGGAUGUGGUGUCGAAAACGGGAUGCUGCUCCUGCAGCCACGUGAAACCCUCGUCCACAUGCCGCACGUCAGUGUCUCCUGACCGCCGGGUCCCAUCCUGUCCCCCCAGUCCCUGAGAACAAAGUCGCCGCCCACCUGAAUCCGGGACCGGGCCAGGUACACGUUGGAUUUCCACUCGGUCUUCAUCUUCCGGUACUGCGACGACUUUGAGUGGACGAACUGCUUGCUGUACGGGGCGUUCAGCUCCCCGGUGACGGUGCUCUGAAACGACUUCGAGGUGCUGGUGCUGUUCAAGGUGUGCGGCCUGCAGACGGCGGCGUGCCAGCAGGGAAGACAAAAGGGAACUGAAGAGACCUCUGACUGGGCGCAGGGCCGAGGUGCGCGCGCGCUCACUGACACGACCGUACCGGGGACCGCCCAGCGGAGCCACGCGGCGGGCCUCGGAAGCGGCCGGGCAGACACAGCCAGACACGGCAGGGUUUGGAAGCAGCAGACAGACCAAGCACGGACCCACCACAACGCCUAGGAGCCCUGGGCCGUACUAUGUGAAGUCAAAACAAAAUACCUUAACACAAACCUCUUGACAUGGGCACUCAUUUUAGGUUCAGAACGGGCACAGCCAGUGGGGUUGACGGCGAGAGGCAGUUCCAUGAGAGGGUUCCGGCCGUACCGGAAGGUGUAGUUCUCGCAUGCCUCGACCCCCGGGAGCUGGAACGAAGCAAAACAGACAUGAGUCAACACCUGUGACCGACGCCACAGGCAGUCGAGCUGGCCGAAGGACGGCCAUCUUGAGCUUCGUGGAAAUAACCUGUGAACGUUUUCGAAACGUGGGUAAUAGCGUGGUCUUUCAGUUCACAUUAACAUGUCAGCCUGCGCUCAGGUCUCCGUGAGCAUGAACGUGAAAAUGGGGUCUCAGAGCAGAACCCGGUAAAAUGCUGCCCAUGCCCCAUGAAGGAAAAGUUCAGCCCACGGGACCACCGCCACGCACGCCCGUGGGUUUCGGGGUGAUGCCCCCGGCCUUCCCAAGCGCGGGGAGGGUGCUGUUCGCAGCUUCGUUCUCUUGCCUGGGCUAACGCCGACCUCUCUCUGUCUGGAAUUUUAAAAUUCUGUUAAAAGUCA